rnacentral:tRNA from 1 species
GGAAGGGUCGCUCAGCGGUAGAGUACCGCGGUACCAUCCGGGACCGCGGCGGCAUUUCGCCUCGUGGCGUUCGAAUCCCACCCCUUCCG